GGUUAAAUGGCUCAGCUGGUAAGAGCACUGACUGGUCUUCUGAAGGUCCUGAGUUCAAUUCCCAGCAACCC
rnacentral:tRNA from 1 species